UACAGAGGGCCCAAGCGUUGUUCGGAUUCACUGGGCGUAAAGGGUGCGUAGGCGGUCGGGUAAGUCUGAUGUGAAAUCUCACAGCUUAACUGUGAAACUGCAUUGGAUACUAUUCGGCUUGAGAGUUGGAGGGGGGACUGGAAUUCUUGGUGUAGCAGUGAAAUGCGUAGAUAUCAGGAGGAACACCGGUGGCGAAGGCGGGUCUCUGGGCCGAUACUGACGCUGAGGAGCGAAAGCGUGGGGAGCGAACAGG
rnacentral:rRNA from 1 species